rnacentral:rRNA from 1 species
GAUUGCGGCGACGUGGGCGGUCCGCUGCCCGCGACGUUGUGAGAAGUCCACUGAACCUUAUCAUUUAGAGGAAGGAGAAGUCGUAACAAGGUUUCCGUAGGUGAACCUGCGGAAGGAUCAUUG